AUAGAAGAGGGGAUCACAGCCAUUCGUGUGAUGAACCUGGAUGUGUGAUGAACCUGGAGUAUAUUAUGCUAAGUGAAGUAAGCCAGAUGCAGAAGCCCAGAGGCUGCACAAUCUCACGUCUAUGUAUACUGUGACUGGCUGAGUCUAUACAACCAGAGGAGAAUAAUGGUCACCCAGGGCUGGGGAUUGUCAACUGCAUCUUCAAAAAGUCGAGGGGGGAAAUUUCGACCACUGCUUCUGCUUCCUAUAAAAGAGCCUUGGUGGGGACACUGUGACGGUCCUUCUGUCACUGCUGCCCUGAGGUCCCAAAGAAUCAUCCAGCCCUUCCUUAAAUGGAACCAGGAUGCCACGUGCAGAAGAAAGGCAGCCUAGAUAGAGGACAAUAGGCACCUCCUGCAGUCCGUGCUUCCUUCUAGACGAUUCCUCGAUUCCGUGCUUGAGAACCAGGACUCUGCUGAGGCUGCUGUAUAAAUGUCCUGUCAGCCUGUUUAUCCUCACAGGGCAGUUUCUUGGCUACCCCAGCACUGUUAAUUGCCCUCAGCCCAGGAGCCUUUGAAGGGAUAAAAGCCAGAUUGCAGACACACACUAGUGUUUAUCACGCACGUCUUUCCUGGGGGUCCCUGUCCCAGGAAGGGGCAGGUCCUUUUCUUCCUGUGCCAACUCUGCUGCCUGGGGUUGCCUUGUGCCCCUCCGCCAGCUGCCCUUGAACUGAGCUUCUGAUUCACAGAAGAUAGCUCAUUCUAGCAGGAAGCAGCAUCUCAGGAUGUGAGAUGCUGAAAUGGAUUUUUUUCGUCACCUGUGUGUUUCCGUGUCACAGCUUUCUCUCCUGUGUGUAACCUUUCUUCAUCCGAGUACUGUGCACAGAAGUACCCCACAAAGGCUCUUCAGAGUUUGUAUUUGUAAAGCGCUGAGUUGAUGGAGACUCUGCACAGGAAAACACCACCCGUGCAAGCACGGCAAGAAUGCUCGAAACAACUUGAAGUUUCUAAAGAGAUGCAAUGAAAUGUGGGUGCUCAAGAGAGGGCGAGAAGGCACCCCCAUUCAGGAGCAUCAGGGGCUGUGUGUGAACUCAACAAGUGUCUGGUUACAUCAUUUCACCUUCAAAAUAUAGCAGGUGCUGUCAGUGCUGCCCGUAUAUGCUUGGGUGUGGGACCAAGCCAUGUGAACAUGAAAUCCUACCUGUAGCCACAUUGUCCCCAGCCGCUAUCAACUGCCAACAACUCUUCAGAUAGGGGUGGAGUCUGGAGACCACCUAUCCAUGAUCCCAGCAUUUGGCUGGCUUGAUUUCGUGGAGAUCUUGUGCAGGGGGUCAACUCCUAGAACAAGGUUGAGGACAAAGCCUUCCUGGGCUUAUGCAGCCAAUGGCCUUGCAGCAAAACACCCCAUGAGCUCAAAAGAGGCAUCGAAGGAAUGUGGACUGUGACUCAAGAAAGGGAGCGCAGAAUUCUGCUGAAAGGAAAAUACAACAUCCCAGCACCCUGGCCUGGAUUCCCAAGUAAACAAGCUGGACAGAAAGUAGCUCACAGAGGGAGUGUGGCGACAGACAAGACCCCAGAGCCGUUAGGGGAUUCCGAGGGAGCAGGAGCAAAGCCACUUCAGGGAUGAGGCCUGGGUCAAUUCCUAUCAACCCAGUAGCAAAGAUAACUCAGUGAAUACAGCACUGUGUGAGCUCAUGGGGGCCGGGAAAGGCAAGAGUCCUUUGAUCCCUGACAACUAAGGAACCAUUUGUUGACCUCCAAUACAACAAUGACCCACAUCACAGGCACACACAUGUCAUGCAAUGUCCUUUGUUUGCCUGGUUCUUUUCCAGUGGGUCUGCUUGUCCCCUCCCUAUGUGUUUUCUAGAAAGACUUCAUUGUUUUUCUGGUGGAGUAUAGGAAAGGGUGCUGUGAGCUGAUUAAGACAGUGGUGAGCUUCUGGGAGCUGGUGAAAACGACGCUGAGUCUUUGAGAGCUGGUCGAGACAAUGCUAGUCUGGAUACCAAAAGAUCACAAAUGGUAAAGGCCUUUCCUAGUUAGGGAUUGUUUAGUCAUGAGAACUGAAAUCCAUUUCAGCUGGUGGAGACUUUUUGGUGAUGGGAAGAGAAGGGCAUAUUUCUGGAACCACACACAGAAGCAUCUCAUAUACCUGGGGGUGAGGACCCAGCCGGCUUCAGAAGGCCUGGGACAGGAACCCUGGGACUGAGCCCCCUCUGCAGGCUCGUCUCUGCAUAGCUACCUCAGCCUGUUCUCCCUUGCAAGCUGGCUUCCUUACUUUUACACGUCCAUACAGACCUGCUCUUGUUUCUUAUGGGUCCAGUUCUCAGGAAACAUUGACUGACUCCUGGACUCCAACUUCCUGUGGACAGACAUGGCACACCACGUUAUCUCAGAAUAGGUAGGACCAAAGGAUUCUCACAAACUAGUCCUGGAGGUUUUUGGAAAGGAAGCUGUAGGUGAAGGCCUUGUGAUGUUAUUCUUGGGGAUACAUGAACAAACUUCCCAGACAGGGAAGCAGCAACCGGUCAAAGCGAGGGUACCACCAAAGACCAACCUAGCAAAUCAGUGGGCUUUAUUUAUAAGUAGCCAGUGAGUUACUCAUAGGAGUAUGGGUAAGGAACUGUCUACAGGAACAGAAAUGACUCUCCGAGGUAUCACCAAAGCCCCGCUCCAGCAUGGGCAACCAUCCACCAAAGCUGGGAAAGCAGGAGCACACUGUACAGCCUGCAAGCAGAUCAACAGGUUGGACAGUGUCCUCUCUGGGUGGGCUCAGUCUGUGUGAGCCUCUUCCAGGCCACUCAGACGGGUUUCUGCUUCUUCUAGACAAUGUCACAUAAUGUCCUUCCUCGCAUGGUUCUUUUCUCAGCUGGUCUCCGUUUCUUUUGGUUGGUCAGCUCAGUUUGAGAAGAUCUCUCACCCAUCUUGGCUGCUUACACACACUCGGGGACAGCGGGGCCUGGAGAAUCUGGUCAGUUUCAGUGACUUCCUGAAGCUAUUGAGUUAUUUACUUCCCGAGCUUAAAGAGCUUUGCUGGAGGGCAGAAUGUCUAAUCUCCUUCCAACAGUUCGUUGUCUCUCUUCUUCUGGAACAUCCUGAGUCUUAAGAAGCUUCCCUCCCAGAUGGGAAGUUUUAAUCUUUGAAGAAACUGCUACACAACAGAGGUCUUUCUGGGACUCCAUUCCGGAAAAUGCUUAUCGAACAGCUCUCACUAAAGGAAAUCUUGAGUGAGAAACAAACUCAGCGCUAUUGAUCAGAAUACACGUUGGCACUCGAGCGCAAACUGAGCUUCAAAAUAGUGCAUCCUCCCUCUUACUAAGAAGCUCUUGGCAGUUGGUAGAGGCAGAUGAGGAAACAUUCAGUUGGGGGAGAUGUGGUCAUUGGGAAGAUUCCUGUGUUCCAGGAUGGCACAUGUGGGCAACAUUAGUUAGAGCUAAUGGGUCAUUUAAGAAAACGAUAUGAUGAGGGUGGUUGUUGUAGUCCCAGGAUUUGGGGGGCCUUGGAAGAUGAAAGUUGGGGUUAGAUAUGAAAAUCUGUAUAAAAUUCUCAAGAAUAAAGAAACAUCUUCAAAAAAUGGUUGUUUUAUUUCCACUGCAUAUUAAGGUUGUAGCAUCAACGGUCUAGCUACAGCAACUUCUCAGUGGCAGAUCUAUAGUACACAAUGGCUCCCAUGGUCUCCUGGCACUCGUGACUUGCAUACUCAAUUCUUUUUGGGUGGGAUAAGAUGCCUU
rnacentral:sRNA from 1 species